GAUGAAGAACGUAGCGAAAUGCGAUAAGUAAUGUGAAUUGCAGAAUUCAGUGAAUCAUCGAAUCUUUGAACGCACAUUGCGCCCGCCAGUAUUCUGGCGGGCAUGCCUGUUCGAGCGUCAUUUCAACCAUCAAGCCCCCGGCUUGUGUUGGGGACCUGCGGCUGCCGCAGGCCCUGAAAAGCAGUGGUGGGCUCGCUGUCACACCGAGCGUAGUAGCAUACAUCUCGCUCUGGGCGUGCUGCGGGUUCCGGCCGUUAAACCACCUUCAUAACCCAAGGUUGACCUCGGAUCAGGUAGGAAGACCCGCUGAACUUAAGCAUAUCAUAAGCGGAGGA
rnacentral:misc_RNA from 1 species